rnacentral:rRNA from 1 species
AGUGAACGCUGGCGGUAGGCCUAACACAUGCAAGUCGAACGGCAGCACAGUAAGAGCUUGCUCUUACGGGUGGCGAGUGGCGGACGGGUGAGGAAUACAUCGGAAUCUACUUUUUCGUGGGGGAUAACGUAGGGAAACUUACGCUAAUACCGCAUACGACCUACGGGUGAAAGCAGGGGAUCUUCGGACCUUGCGCGAUUGAAUGAGCCGAUGUCGGAUUAGCUAGUUGGCGGGGUAAAGGCCCACCAAGGCGACGAUCCGUAGCUGGUCUGAGAGGAUGAUCAGCCACACUGGAACUGAGACACGGUCCAGACUCCUACGGGAGGCAGCAGUGGGGAAUAUUGGACAAUGGGCGCAAGCCUGAUCCAGCCAUACCGAGUGGGUGAAGAAGGCCUUCGGGUUGUAAAGCCCUUUUGUUGGGAAAGAAAAGCAGCAGGUUAAUACCCCGCUGUUCUGACGGUACCAAAAGAAUAAGCACCGGCUAACUUCGUG